rnacentral:tRNA from 1 species
AAGGAAACAUUUUGCAUUAAAAGGAGCUGCUAACUAUCUUUUAUAAUGGUUAAAUUCCAUUUUUUCCUUU